rnacentral:rRNA from 1 species
AUUGAACGCUGGCGGCAGGCUUAACACAUGCAAGUCGAGCGGAGAUGAGGUGCUUGCACCUUAUCUUAGCGGCGGACGGGUGAGUAAUGCUUAGGAAUCUGCCUAUUAGUGGGGGACAACAUUCCGAAAGGAAUGCUAAUACCGCAUACGUCCUACGGGAGAAAGCAGGGGAUCUUCGGACCUUGCGCUAAUAGAUGAGCCUAAGUCGGAUUAGCUAGUUGGUGGGGUAAAGGCCUACCAAGGCGACGAUCUGUAGCGGGUCUGAGAGGAUGAUCCGCCACACUGGGACUGAGACACGGCCCGGACUCCUACGGGAGGCAGCAGUGGGGAAUAUUGGACAAUGGGGGGAACCCUGAUCCAGCCAUGCCGCGUGUGUGAAGAAGGCCUUAUGGUUGUAAAGCACUUUAAGCGAGGAGGAGGCUACUGGGACUAAUACUCUUGGAUAGUGGACGUUACUCGCAGAAUAAGCACCGGCUAACUCUGUGCCAGCCGCCGCCGUAAAAC